AUGGGUCCCCCCACAUUAGAGACGGGUUCUGCUCGAGGUUUUUUUCCCUGUUAAAAGGGUGUUUUCCUUGCCACUGUCGCCUUUUGGCUUGCUCUGGGGGUCAGGCAUAUGGGUUCUGUAAAGCGUCUCGAGACAAUUUGACUGUAAUUGGCGCUAUAUAAAUAAAAUUGAAUUGAAUUGAAUUGAAAUUCUUUGCUUCAAGCUAUAUGCAACCCAAAAGAAAAAGAAAGGUUUCCGCCAUGUGGGACCACUUUGAUCUUAUAUCAGCAAAUAGAAUAUUUGUUUCAUCCUGCUCCUCUCAGUUUCCACUUGAUCACUUGAUCUAUCAGAACUGUAAUCCUGAAUGCCAAGACACCUCCCCCCCGGCUGCAGCCUCCCAUCUCUCCAGGACCUGCACAUCUCCAAAACUCAGGGGCAUGCAGGCCAGGUUGCAGCUGACCCUUAUCACCCUGGACACAAACUUUUCCAGCCACUUUCCUCAGGCAGGAGGCUACGGUCCAUACGGACCAGAACCUCCUGCCACAAAAACAGUUUCUUCCCCUCUGCUGUCGGACUUAUGAACCAUUAAAUAACCUCCACUUACCAGUCACUUUAUUCUUUUUACUUGCACUCAUUCUGGGUUCUAUUUGCACAUUCUGUUUGCACUAUUCUGUUCUGGGAAAAAUGAUGACAACCAUUUUUUGCUUGCUCUUUUAUUAUUAUUUCUUUAUUAUAGUAGUAUCAUAAUUUCAUUUUUAUGUUCUAUCUUUUAUGUUCUUUGUUGCAUCAUUCACCAAAACAAAUUUGUAGUUGUGUAAACUCACUUACUUGGCAAUAAAUAUUAUUCUGAUUCUGGUGUCAGUUGAGUCCGUCAACUAGGUUGCCUGUAAUGAUUUUUAAGAUCCAGCAGGUGUCAGCAUUGAGCGAUACAGUACCGACACUAUCAUUACAGUUCGGGUAAUGUGCCACAGCGCUUCUUGAGGCCUCAUCUACCCAUCACUACCUGUUGCACACAGACCUACAUGCGGAAGUGAUGCAGAUGGGAGCAGAGGAAGAAACAGGUGGAGGGCCUCAGCUUAAAUACUCAGCCCCACUUCAAAGAUUGGCCACCAGCUGCAAACAACAUCAGUUCAGUGGAUCCUGAUGAUGAGAGACAGUUAGGUGCUGAUGCCUCUCCAGAGACUGCAGACUACAGGACCAAAGUGUGGUCUGUCCUGUCAUCUGAGAGUUUGGAGGAUCUUGAGCUGCUUGGAGACAUUGAGGUUCCUGAGCAGUCUGACCUGGCUUCUGUCCCACCUACUGGUGAGUCUGGCUGAGGCAUCUGUUAGCCUAUCAUGCUUUGGUCCUUCACAGUCUGAUAUGUCCAUGGACAUGGCUAGGACAGCAAAUGCUGAGGGUACUGACUCUGACCUCAGCCCAGCUGUACCUGACAACUCACUUGACCCCAUAUCAUGCACAGAGACUCCACCAUGACUGACACAGAUGUCAGGCCUGUUCCUGCAGGCCGUAGGUAGAACUCUUCUCUCUCCCUCCUUUCUUUUUGUCUCUCAGGUGUGUUCCUUCCAGAGGCUGCAGUGACAGGUGUGGCUAAUCUAAUCAGCUUCAGCAGAAUAGAAGCAGGUGGAGCGACACCAAUCAGAAGUCAUUCCACUGCAAUAAGACUGGCCUCCACUCACCAUGCUUUGUCAGACCGUGAAGAAUCUCUUUCUGGUUUCUGUCCGUCCAUAUUCACCUGCUCCCCUCUCAUCUGGAUCACAGACCGUCUGACCAUCACAUUCCUGCAGUUCCUGACGCACUCCUGGAUCCGAAACCUCCGAGCAGCCACAUUCUUCACUCUCCUCCCUGGCACUCACCUGGCGUCACCUCCAUCAAACUCCAUUCACAUCCAUUGGAACACUACAGCCUCUGGAACAUCACUCCUGCCUAAGUCCUCUGCACCGCCUGCCCACUCCACCCCCUAGUCAGUAAGCUGGGUACCAGUUCGAGCAUUCCUGACUAUCCCAAUAACGUAGUUGAUCAUCGUUAGAGUAAUUUUGUAGCUUGUAUUCUGGAUCUCCUUCCCAGUGGUAAUUCUUGGGUUUCUGUAAGAUGCAUAUCCGGCUAGCUGUUUGAAAUCAGUAGUUAGUUCAUUGAAUGUUUAUUUGUUUAUUGUGGACAAACUCGUCUGGAUAACUAUUUGUAUUCUCGCCGUCCUGCCUGGGUGAUACCUUACGUGGGUGGUUGUUUUCUGUUCAGGAUCUAUGCUUUAUUCUUGGUAAAUAGUCUCGGCUGCUUAGUCCCAGCUUUUCUGCGUCAUCUUCUUUGUAGACUUCCGGGCGCUUUUGUAGUUCUUGUUCUUGUGUAGUGUCUAGCGCCACUUCUGAGUUUUGUUAUUGUCGCUUGAGUAGCGUCACUACCUGUGAGAAUCCUCGUAGCUUACGCUAACGUAAUCUGUUAAAUAAAAGUUUUUUUUGAAUCUGAUUUACCUCCAUCCAUUUCCUGCAUCUGAGCCUCAGUCAAUCCGUAAUAACAGCUGUAUGUGACACAGAAGUAGCUGUUAGAGAUGUUGAAGUUAGGGGUCAUGCUUGGUCCAGAGCAGGUAGAUUGUUGAGACCAGUUACAAGUUCAAUUGGGAUAAUACAUCAGAGAACAGGGGUAGUAUCAUAGGUGAU
ensembl:lncRNA